AUGUCACAAGAGGUCACACUCACUUGAGUUUCUUCGUUUUCCUUCGUUUCUUUGUUUCCUUUGUCUUGUCCUUCCUUAUCUU
rnacentral:ribozyme from 12 species